rnacentral:rRNA from 1 species
UGGCGACCGGCGCACGGGUGAGUAACACGUAUCCAACCUGCCUCAUACUCGGGGAUAGCCUUUCGAAAGAAAGAUUAAUAUCCGAUAGCAUAUAUUUCCCGCAUGGGUUUUAUAUUAAAGAAAUUCGGUAUGAGAUGGGGAUGCGUUCCAUUAGUUUGUUGGCGGGGUAACGGCCCACCAAGACUACGAUGGAUAGGGGUUCUGAGAGGAAGGUCCCCCACAUUGGAACUGAGACACGGUCCAAACUCCUACGGGAGGCAGCAGUGAGGAAUAUUGGUCAAUGGACGCGAGUCUGAACCAGCCAAGUAGCGUGAAGGAUGACUGCCCUAUGGGUUGUAAACUUCUUUUAUAUGGGAAUAAAGUGGUCCACGUGUGGAUUUUUGUAUGUACCAUAUGAAUAAGGAUCGGCUAACUCCGUGCCAGCAGCCGCGGUAAUACGGAGGAUCCGAGCGUUAUCCGGAUUUAUUGGGUUUAAAGGGAGCGUAGGCGGAUUGUUAAGUCAGUUGUGAAAGUUUGCGGCUCAACCGUAAAAUUGCAGUUGAUACUGGCAGUCUUGAGUGCAGUAGAGGUGGGCGGAAUUCGUGGUGUAGCGGUGAAAUGCUUAGAUAUCACGAAGAACUCCGAUUGCGAAGGCAGCU